CACGUAGGUGACCAGCGUUGUCCGGAUUUACUGGGCGUAAAGAGCGCGCAGGCGGUCGUUCAAGUCGAGUGUGAAAGCCCCCGGCUCAACUGGGGAGGGUCAUUCGAUACUGAUCGACUCGAAGGCAGGAGAGGGUAGUGGAAUUCCCGGUGUAGUGGUGAAAUGCGUAGAGAUCGGGAGGAACAUCAGUUGCGAAGGCGGCUCUCUGGACCAGCACUGACACUGAGGCACGAAAGCGUGGGGAGCAAACAGG
rnacentral:rRNA from 1 species